rnacentral:lncRNA from 1 species
CACGUGCCUUUUAUGCACCUGCCGUAGUUCCAGGUCCCGGGGCGGCACCGUGGGAGAAAAUAAAUAAACAUCCCAGCCCACAUGCGCAGAGAGACCAUAAACGGGGACAAUAAAAUGGACAGUAUCUUAGCUGGCGACGAGUGCUAAGAAGAAAGAAUAAUGAAAGGGCAUUCGGAAGUGUUGGGGGCAGGGUAGGUUUUAUAGAGAGUGGGCAGGGAAGUCCUCACUGGAAGCUUGCACUUGAACGACCUGAAGGAGAGGAAGGAGCAGGUUAUGCAGCAGUGUGGGGAACGGCAUUCCUGGCUGAAGGAACACAAGCGCCUGUGAAACACGGAGGAGGCCAGGUGGCUGGACCAGAGAGAGGAGGGGGCAGAAUAAAUAGGAAAAGAGGAACACCCACUAACUUCUUGUCGGAUCUGAGAGAGUGAAUCAGCCCUGAUAAGCUGACUGUGAAGUUCCCGACGGUCAUAAACAGGGCCAGCGCAAGGCCAACAGAAAAUAGUGUUUUUCCCAACGCCACACCACAGCUGCAGAAUGACUAACACAAAGCCCAACAAAUUAGCAGACUAGUUUGUAAGAGACACCUGAGAUAAAGACAUCACAGAUGUAUCUGUUUACCAAGGCCUCGACGAUCAACCUGAACUUCUACGAGUUGCUGGAUUCAAGGGCAGACUAUGGGCUGCCUUUCUGCUAAUUAGAUUAUUUUACCCACCAAAUCAUCUUGGAGAAAUCCUGAAAAAGGCAGUAGUUUGUGCACAUAGUACUAUUUGUCUAGAAUUAAAGGUAAGCUCCACACAGAUGGAGAGUGGAAGACUGUGAUUGACUUUACUUUCACAAAGAGUUGAAUGCUGAGCGACCUCUACAACCAGCUGUUGCUGUACAAGCAUCUUCUCCUAGACUUCCAAGUCACUCCCUGUCCUGGGAUUGGACUGUAAUAAUACAGCCGUAGCUUUGCUUUGUAAAAGAGAGAGGACAAAGUAAAAAGGAGAAGACAUCUGUUACUUCUAGUCAGUUAAGCCUUCUAAAAAUAUUUCCCUUUUAGUGACCGUUUGUUAUUUUGACCUUUGAUCUUUUACUCUGGAAAUACGACCUUUGAAACUCUCCUACUUCCCUCCUCAUGUUUUUAAAAUGGUAAUAAUGCUGAACCACAGAGGAAGAGACUUCCUUUUGCAUCCACAGCGUUUGGAGAUGAAGGUUCAUGGUGAAUAAACGAGGAAACAUUCCAAUUAUUCUUGCAA